UUAAGCGACUAAGCGUACACGGUGGAUGCCCUGGCAGUCAGAGGCGAUGAAGGACGUGCUAAUCUGCGAAAAGCGUCGGUAAGGUGAUAUGAACCGUUACAGCCGGCGAUGUCCGAAUGGGGAAACCCAGUGCAAUUCGUUGCACUAUCGUUAACUGAAUACAUAGGUUAACGAGGCGAACCGGGGGAACUGAAACAUCUAAGUACCCCGAGGAAAAGAAAUCAACCGAGAUUCCCCCAGUAGCGGCGAGCGAACGGGGAGCAGCCCAGAGUCUGAAUCAGCUUGUGUGUUAGUGGAACGGUCUGGAAAGUCCGACGGUACAGGGUGAUAGUCCCGUACACCAAAAUGCACAGGCUGUGAACUCGAAGAGUAGGGCGGGACACGUGGUAUCCUGUCUGAAUAUGGGGGGACCAUCCUCCAAGGCUAAAUACUCCUGACUGACCGAUAGUGAACCAGUACCGUGAGGGAAAGGCGAAAAGAACCCCGGCGAGGGGAGUGAAAAAGAACCUGAAACCGUGUACGUACAAGCAGUGGGAGCACCUUCGGGUGUGACUGCGUACCUUUUGUAUAAUGGGUCAGCGACUUAUAUUCUGUAGCAAGGUUAACCGUAUAGGGGAGCCGCAGGGAAACCGAGUCUUAACUGGGCGUUAAGUUGCAGGGUAUAGACCCGAAACCCGGUGAUCUAGCCAUGGGCAGGUUGAAGGUUGGGUAACACUAACUGGAGGACCGAACCGACUAAUGUUGAAAAAUUAGCGGAUGACUUGUGGCUGGGGGUGAAAGGCCAAUCAAACCGGGAGAUAGCUGGUUCUCCCCGAAAGCUAUUUAGGUAGCGCCUCGUGAACUCAUCUUCGGGGGUAGAGCACUGUUUCGGCUAGGGGGUCAUCCCGACUUACCAACCCGAUGCAAACUACGAAUACCGAAGAAUGUUAUCACGGGAGACACACGGCGGGUGCUAACGUCCGUCGUGAAGAGGGAAACAACCCAGACCGCCAGCUAAGGUCCCAAAGUCAUGGUUAAGUGGGAAACGAUGUGGGAAGGCACAGACAGCCAGGAUGUUGGCUUAGAAGCAGCCAUCAUUUAAAGAAAGCGUAAUAGCUCACUGGUCGAGUCGGCCUGCGCGGAAGAUGUAACGGGGCUAAACCAUGCACCGAAGCUGCGGCAGCGACACUAUGUGUUGUUGGGUAGGGGAGCGUUCUGUAAGCCUGCGAAGGUGACCUGUGAGGCAUGCUGGAGGUAUCAGAAGUGCGAAUGCUGACAUAAGUAACGAUAAAGCGGGUGAAAAGCCCGCUCGCCGGAAGACCAAGGGUUCCUGUCCAACGUUAAUCGGGGCAGGGUGAGUCGACCCCUAAGGCGAGGCCGAAAGGCGUAGUCGAUGGGAAACAGGUUAAUAUUCCUGUACUUGGUGUUACUGCGAAGGGGGGACGGAGAAGGCUAUGUUAGCCGGGCGACGGUUGUCCCGGUUUAAGCAUGUAGGCUGGUUAUCCAGGCAAAUCCGGAUAAUCAAGGCUGAGGUGUGAUGACGAGGCACUACGGUGCUGAAGUAACAAAUGCCCUGCUUCCAGGAAAAGCCUCUAAGCAUCAGGUAACAUCAAAUCGUACCCCAAACCGACACAGGUGGUCAGGUAGAGAAUACCAAGGCGCUUGAGAGAACUCGGGUGAAGGAACUAGGCAAAAUGGUGCCGUAACUUCGGGAGAAGGCACGCUGGUGUGUAGGUGAAGUCCCUGCGGAUGGAGCUGAGACCAGUCGAAGAUACCAGCUGGCUGCAACUGUUUAUUAAAAACACAGCACUGUGCAAACACGAAAGUGGACGUAUACGGUGUGACGCCUGCCCGGUGCCGGAAGGUUAAUUGAUGGGGUUAUCCGUAAGGAGAAGCUCUUGAUCGAAGCCCCGGUAAACGGCGGCCGUAACUAUAACGGUCCUAAGGUAGCGAAAUUCCUUGUCGGGUAAGUUCCGACCUGCACGAAUGGCGUAAUGAUGGCCAGGCUGUCUCCACCCGAGACUCAGUGAAAUUGAACUCGCUGUGAAGAUGCAGUGUACCCGCGGCAAGACGGAAAGACCCCGUGAACCUUUACUAUAGCUUGACACUGAACAUUGAGCCUUGAUGUGUAGGAUAGGUGGGAGGCUUUGAAGCGUGGACGCCAGUCUGCGUGGAGCCAACCUUGAAAUACCACCCUUUAAUGUUUGAUGUUCUAACGUUGGCCCCUGACCGGGGUUGCGGACAGUGUCUGGUGGGUAGUUUGACUGGGGCGGUCUCCUCCCAAAGCGUAACGGAGGAGCACGAAGGUUAGCUAAUCCUGGUCGGACAUCAGGAGGUUAGUGCAAUGGCAUAAGCUAGCUUGACUGCGAGCGUGACGGCGCGAGCAGGUGCGAAAGCAGGUCAUAGUGAUCCGGUGGUUCUGAAUGGAAGGGCCAUCGCUCAACGGAUAAAAGGUACUCCGGGGAUAACAGGCUGAUACCGCCCAAGAGUUCAUAUCGACGGCGGUGUUUGGCACCUCGAUGUCGGCUCAUCACAUCCUGGGGCUGAAGUAGGUCCCAAGGGUAUGGCUGUUCGCCAUUUAAAGUGGUACGCGAGCUGGGUUUAGAACGUCGUGAGACAGUUCGGUCCCUAUCUGCCGUGGGCGCUGGAGAAUUGAGGGGGGCUGCUCCUAGUACGAGAGGACCGGAGUGGACGCAUCACUGGUGUUCGGGUUGUCAUGCCAAUGGCACUGCCCGGUAGCUAAAUGCGGAAGAGAUAAGUGCUGAAAGCAUCUAAGCACGAAACUUGCCCCGAGAUGAGUUCUCCCUGAGACUUUAAGUCUCCUGAAGGAACGUUGAAGACGACGACGUUGAUAGGCCGGGUGUGUAAGCGCAGCGAUGCGUUGAGCUAACCGGUACUAAUGAACCGUGAGGCUUAACCUU
rnacentral:rRNA from 1 species